rnacentral:rRNA from 1 species
UACGUAGGCAGCAAGCGUUGUUCGGAGUUACUGGGCGUAAAGGGUGUGUAGGCGGUCCUCUAAGUUUGGUGUGAAAUCUCCCGGCUCAACUGGGAGGGUGCGCCGAAAACUGGAGGGCUAGCGUACUGGAUGGGAGAGUGGAAUUCCUGGUGUAGCGGUGAAAUGCGUAGAUAUCAGGAGGAACACCGGUGGUGUAGACGGCUUACUGGACCACGACUGACACUGAGGCACGAAAGCGUGGGUAGCAAACAGG